CUCCGGUUGAUCCUGCCGGACCCGACUGCUAUCAGAGUGAGAUUAAGCCAUGCGAGUUAACGUAGCAAUACGUGGCGCACGGCUCAGUAACACGUAGUCAACAUGCCCAGGGGACGUGGAUAACCUCGGGAAACUGAGAAUAAACCACGAUAGGUCACGAUUUCUGGAAUGGAUCAUGGCCUAAAUCUACAUGGCCCCUGGAUUGGACUGCGGCCGAUCAGGCUGUUGGUGAGGUAAUGGCCCACCAAACCUAUAACCGGUACGGGCUCUGAGAGGAGAAGCCCGGAGAUGGGCACUGAGACAAGGGCCCAGGCCCUAUGGGGCGCAGCAGGCGCGAAACCUCUGCAAUAGGCGAAAGCCUGACAGGGUUACUCUGAGUGAUUUCCGCUAAGGGGAUCUUUUGGCACCUCUAAAAAUGGUGCAGAAUAAGGGGUGGGCAAGUCUGGUGUCAGCCGCCGCGGUAAUACCAGCACCCCGAGUGGUCGGGACGAUUAUUGGGCCUAAAGCAUCCGUAGCCGGUUCUACAAGUCUUCCGUUAAAUCCAGCCGCUCAACGGAUGGGCCGCGGAGGAUACUACAGGACUAGGAGGCGGGAGAGGCAAGCGGUACUCAGUGGGUAGGGGUAAAAUCCGUUGAUCCAUUGAAGACCACCAGUGGCGAAGGCGGCUUGCCAGAAUGCGCUCGACGGUGAGGGAUGAAAGCUGGGGGAGCAAACCGGAUUAGAUACCCGGGUAGUCCCAGCCGUAAACGAUGCAGACUCGGUGAUGGGUUGGCUUCGCGCUAACCCAGUGCCGCAGGGAAGCCGUUAAGUCUGCCGCCUGGGUAGUACGGUCGCAAGACUGAAACUUAAAGGAAUUGGCGGGGGAGCA
rnacentral:rRNA from 1 species